rnacentral:tRNA from 1 species
GGUAUAUAGCUCAGUUGGUAGAGUGCUUGCCUCACAUGCAUAAGGCCCUGGGUUCAAUCCCCAGCACUACCA